GUUUUUUUAAUGGCCAAUUGGAUUAGUUGCGAUUACGUCUGGCCUUCCCCUUCUGAAUUUUGUAUCCUGAAACCCAGUCUCUGAUCGGGUCAUAGAUAUAUUCACAACGAGAAAACUAACAAUAAAAAUGAGAGACUUGUUCGGCCAGUUGGAGGGAGCUAUAAAAAAAUCUCACACCAGCACAACAACAGAGCAGAGCGCUACGGCAGCACGCACCGUCGUCGGCUCUCACCAUCCAAGGAAUCCUCAGCUCGUUGGCUCCGUCCCGGCCAUGGCCGCCCUGCAGAGCCCGCUCCUCGGCGGCGCCGGCGUCUCGCCGGACGCGAGCUCUCCGCGGCGCCGUGUCCGCCGUCCGUGGGCCGCGCUGGGCAUCGCCGUGGCGCUGCUGGCCCUGGCCGGCGUCCUGCUGCUGCUGUUGAGCCCCGGUGCCGAGCCUGCCGCUGAUCGGAGCCGGAGCUCGAGGGUGUCUGGCGCGCGGGAGAGCCGGCACGAGGUGGAGUCCGGCGCGGCCGCGGUGGCCGCGGACGACGGGCGGUGCUCGGAGGUGGGCGCCGCGGCGCUGCGCGCGGGCGGGCACGCCGUGGACGCGGCCGUGGCGGCGGCGCUCUGCCUCGGCGUGGUGCACCCGAUGUCGAGCGGCCUCGGCGGCGGCGCGUUCAUCGUGGUGAGGGACGCGGCCUCCGGCGACGCCGUCGCCUUCGACGCCCGCGAGACGGCGCCGGCCGCGGCCACGCCGGUACGUUUGCUCUACUAGUAUUACUACGUUGCAAUCAUUCGUGACAGCGAAAAGCGAGAUUUUUUCGCCCAUGCGUUCGUUCGUUCGAUCGCUCGUAGCGCUCGUGCGUAUGGCCUGUGGGUCCCGUGCGUAUGGUCACUAUGGUUUGGGCGGGUGCUCAGUGGUCACCGUCUGAUGGGCCCUGUAUCCUUUCCUUGGCGGACAAAUACACUGUACGGUGGGCCCUGUAUGCUUAGGCCAAUGGAACGGAUUGGUUGCUCAAUGAAUGUCAAUGAAUGUGACAGGCAAUAUAAAUUAAUUACCAUGACAAGGACUAUGCAUCUUGCUAGAGUGUCCAAGCAAAGAAUAUAGAGAUUUUUCCCACAAAAACAAUAAUAAUGUAGAGAUUUAGUUACAAUGAUUAUAAGGGUGCAAAACAUUUGAUUUAGCUUAUUAAUCAUGCCUUCUCCUUAGCUUAGCUCAUCCUGUUGACAACAUUUUCAUCUCUGUUUCCGGCGAUAGUCCAUAGAGUCAUCUCGUGCUCCACGAGGGACGGAUCAAUACACAUGGUACUCCACAUCUUGUCCGUAACUGUAAACAAAUCAAGAGAGGCCUUUGCGUUCUCGUACCCACCUCCACCUACCCCAUCUCGAAAGAAAGAGAAAAUAAAUUAAGCAAUGCCACCACCAUGAUUCAUAUGGUCUUUGCUAAUCAUUUUCUCUCAUGUUAGUGAGUAGUUCACGCAUGUUGGACGACAGCGAACGUGCGUGUCACAACAGUUCAGAUUUUGCAUUGCUAACCUAAUUUGCAUGGAUCGGUUGCUCGUGGUUAAUUCCAUUGAUUUGUGCUUAAUUAUGUAGUAGUAAUUGCUAAUUAGUUGACCAUGUUAAUUCUUGGCAAAAAAUUAGCCAUGCUACGUAAUUAGUUCCUGUAACUCAUUGCAUGAAUUGAUGGUUGGCUCAAACUACGUGCAUUGCAUGUUGCCAGACCAUGUACGCCGCCGACCCGACGACCAAGUUCAAGGGCGCGCUGGCCAUGGGCGUGCCGGGGGAGCUCGCCGGCCUGCAUGUCGCGUGGUCGCGCUACGGCCGGCUGCCGUGGAAGUCACUCUUCGCGCCGGCGAUCGCGCUCGCUCGCGACGGCUACACCAUCGUGUCCUACGUGGCCAAUGCGCUCAAGGACGAGGAGGUCGACGUGCUCGCCGACCCCGGCCUGCGCGCCGUGUUCGCGCCCGGCGGGCGGCUCCUGCGCGACGGCGAGCUCUGCCGCAACCCGGCGCUCGCGGACGUGCUGGAGACCCUGGCGGAGGACGGCAUCUCGGCGUUCUAUGGCGGCGCAGUCGGGGAGAGGCUCGCGGAGGACGUGAGGCGGGCGGGGGGCAUCGUGACGCUCGAGGACCUGAAGGGGUACAGGGUGGGGGUGAGCAAGGCCAUGGAAGCCGACGCCAUGGGCUUCACCUUCCUCGGCAUGCCGCCGCCGUCCAGCGGCACCGUCGGCUUGGCGCUGGUGCUGAACGUAUUGGGCGGGUACAAGUCGACCGAGUUCCUGAGAGGGUUUCUGGGCGUGCACCGGCUGAUCGAGGCGGUGAAGCACAUGCUGGCCGUGCGGAUGGACCUCGGGGACCCCGGCUUCGUCAACGUCGCCGGCAACGUCUCCGAGAUGAUAUCGCCGGAGUUCGCGGACAAGAUCCGGCGGAGGAUCGCCGACAACACCACCUUCCCUCCCGCCUACUACCUCGCAAAAUGGAGCCAGCUGCGUGACAACGGCACGAGCCACCUGUGCGUGGUGGACGGCGACCGGAACGCGGUGGCGAUGACGACGACGGUGAACUACUACUUCGGUGCGCACGUGUUGUCGCCGUCCACCGGCAUCGUGCUCAACAACGAGAUGGACGACUUCUCGGUGCCGUCGUCGAACCCGGCCCCGGACAAGCUCCCGCCGGCGCCGGCCAACUUCAUCGCCCCGGGGAAGCGGCCGCUCUCCUCCAUGACGCCGGCGAUCAUCCUCAGAGACGGGCAGUUGGCCGGCGUGGUGGGCGCCAGCGGUGGCACCAACAUCAUCACGGCGGUGACGCAGGUGUUCCUGAACCACUUCGUGAUGGGGAUGAGCCCCCUCGCCGCGGUGCAGAGCCCCAGGGUGUACCACAAGCUGGUGCCCAACGUGGUGCGGUACGAGGACGUCACGAUGGCCGACGGCGAGGUGAUCGAGUUCAGCACCGAGGCGAUGGAGUUUCUACGGCGGAGGGGCCACGUGCUGGAGAGCACGUCGCCCGGGGCUGUGUGCCAGCUGAUCGUGCAGGACUUGCUGGCGCCGGUCUCUGGGGCCGGUGGUGGCGGCGAGAACGUGUUCCGCGGGAUGCUGACGGCGGUGAGCGACCCGAGGAAAGACGGCAGCCCUGCGGGAGUAUGAUGGGCAUAUUGUUUAGACGUGUCAGGUGUACAUACAUUCAAACAGAUUGUUCUGAACCCAAUGAUCUUUCUGAAUGUUACAAAGUAUUUACAUGUAGUUGUCACUCCCUUCAGCUUCAGCUGAGGGUUGAGCAUUUUCCAAAUUGUUUGAGCAUUUUCCAAAUUCUGAACAUUGUUUGAUAUUACAAUUCUUUUUGCAAACUUUUGAGCUUU
rnacentral:rRNA from 1 species